UACGAGGGGGGCAAGCGUUGUUCGGAAUUAUUGGGCGUAAAGGGUGCGUAGGCGGUCUGAUAAGUCAUCUGUGAAAUCUAUGGGCUCAACCCAUAGUCUGCAGGCGAAACUGUCGGGCUUGAGUAUGGGAGAGGUGAGUGGAAUUUCCGGUGUAGCGGUGAAAUGCGUAGAUAUCGGGAGGAACACCAGUGGCGAAGGCGGCCUUCUGGACCAGUACUGACGCUCAUGCACGAAAGCGUGGGGAGCAAACAGG
rnacentral:rRNA from 1 species